rnacentral:rRNA from 1 species
UGGGGAAUAUUGCACAAUGGGCGCAAGCCUGAUGCAGCCAUGCCGCGUGUGUGAAGAAGGCCUUCGGGUUGUAAAGCACUUUCAGCGGGGAGGAAGGCGUUAAGGUUAAUAACCUUGGCGAUUGACGUUACCCGCAGAAGAAGCACCGGCUAACUCCGUGCCCGCAGCCGCGGUAAUACGGAGGGUGCAAGCGUUAAUCGGAAUUACUGGGCGUAAAGCGCACGCAGGCGGUUUGUUAAGUCAGAUGUGAAAUCCCCGGGCUCAACCUGGGAACUGCAUCUGAUACUGGCAAGCUUGAGUCUCGUAGAGGGGGGUAGAAUUCCAGAUGUAGCGGUGAAAUGCGUAGAGAUCUGGAGGAAUACCGGUGGCGAAGGCGGCCCCCUGGACGAAGACUGACGCUCAGGUGCGAAAGCGUGGGGAGCAAACAGG